CGCGCAGGCGGCGAGAUCAGUCAGGCGUGAAAGCCCCGGGCUCAACCUGGGAUGUGCGUUUGAUACUAUCUUGCUCGAGACCGGAAGAGGAUGGCGGAAUACCCAGUGUAGAGGUGAAAUUCGUAGAUAUUGGGUGGAACACCAGUGGCGAAGGCGGCCAUCUGGUCCGGAUCUGACGCUGAGGCGCGAAAGCGUGGGGAGCAAACA
rnacentral:rRNA from 1 species